GGUUGAGAAUUUCACCUUUUCCUUUAGUACCAGCUAGAGAAUUCUGCCAGCGAUAGAUAGAGGAAUGGUGUGAUCCAGAACAGAAAUUUAAUAUUCCUGGUCAUCUUGUCAGCUGCCUCCUUUCAUGCUUAAUAUUGAAAUGCUGUCAUAUUUUAAGGCUUUUAAAAAUCAUUUAUGCUUCCUCAGCUCUAGUGCAGCAUCAUUAAAUAUCAGGCAUAAUGUCCCUAAGAAAUGGCGCUUGGAACAAAAUAGCAAGAAUGCUUUAGUAACUCAGAGCUGAUCAGAAAUUUACUGAAAUCUUGUCUCCCAGAUUUGUCGAGUUCUCUAAUAUGGAAGUACAAACCUUUGGCUAAGCAGGUCUAAAGUACUUGGGAAUAAGGAGGCGAUGGGUGCAGAGAUCUGUCUUUAGGUGGGAGAAUAGAGGAGUUGGAAAGCUUUGAAUUGGAUCAGAUCUUGAUAUGCAAUUAUCUGUUCCCAGUCUGUCUAUAACAAGCUGUGUGACCUUGGGCAGAUCACAAACCGCUGGGAGCUUCAGCUUUCUCAUCUGUCAAAAGGAGGAAAUAACAUUUCUAACUCUUCCAAUCUCAGAGUGUUGAGUAACGGAAGGCUCUAUGAAUGGGAGCAGCCCAUCAGGAUCAUCCAAAUCAAAGGUUACUAACCCUAAAGUCUGCGGAAGCCAGACAGGACUAUUGGCUAUCAAUGACAAUCAGGUGGUAAAUUGGCCAAACGAGGUCUACAUUUUACUAUGUUCUUGGCAGCAUCCAACAAAUCUUUCCGUCAACUGUAAAUAUUAGGAUGGGACUAUUAAGGACGGGCAACUUUCCAGCAAACAGGAAGAAGGGGAGCUCUUGCAAUAUCAGGUGAUCUACUAGGCGUCUGGAUUUGAGAACCACUCAUCUAUUCUGAUCCUUCCUUUUUAUGGAGGAGAAAACUGGGUUCCAACUGAUCCCAGCCAGAAGCAGAAAAGGAAUUAAAACCCAGAACCCCUCACUCCUACUUCAGGCUGGAAAGCCUGGCUGUGCCUGCAGAAUCAGAGGGGCUAGAUCACCUGGUAUGGUGGGAUUAAGAGCCACGGACUUAAUUCCCAUAGGCAAAGGGAAGCCAAUGUACAGAGUUGCUCUGGAGAGGACCAGGAUGAAAAUGAUUCAUCUGGUGAUAGGUUUGCUCUCCCCACCUUCUUUCAGCAACCACUUAGUCCCUGAGUCCCACUCUGAGGCCCCUCAGCCUCACAGAGUCCCAGUUGAAGUCACUUUCUUUACCUUCUCCAAAAUCAAGUGUCCACAAACACAGCACUUCUCAGCUGCCUCCUGAAACCCUGAAAACUGGGAAGAAAAGACAAAGGAAGGAUGUUACCAAGCUGAAAAUGACCUGAUGGGUGGACCCCCAUGUGCCACCAAGAAGGGAGUCCUAGUGUGGGAGCCAAUUCUAGGUCCAAAGGACCCCUCACUCACCAAGUAAUCUUCCUCACAGUACACAGAGCCGUUGACGCUGUAGAAAGCCUUGCAACGCAAAGUUCGCCCUAGAAGCAGCAGAGAAGGGGCUGGAGUUGGGUCUAGGGGCAGGGUUCCCUGUACUUUGGGGUCACUGUUCCCCAGUGUUGCAUGAUGUAUUUAAAUCUGGACUUUAUUUAGUGUUUUUUCCUCCUGCCUGCUGUUUGU